rnacentral:rRNA from 1 species
GGCCGGGCGACGGUUGUCCCGGUUUAAGCGUGUAGGCUGGUUUUCCAGGCAAAUCCGGAAAAUCAAGGCUGAGGCGUGAUGACGAGGCACUACGGUGCUGAAGCAACAAAUGCCCUGCUUCCAGGAAAAGCCUCUAAGCAUCAGGUAACAUCAAAUCGUACCCCAAACCGACACAGGUGGUCAGGUAGAGAAUACCAAGGCGCUUGAGAGAACUCGGGUGAAGGAACUAGGCAAAAUGGUGCCGUAACUUCGGGAGAAG